rnacentral:rRNA from 1 species
GUCGGAGGGGCCUUGAGCCCUGACGGCGUACCUUUUGUAUAAUGGGUCAUCGACUUGGUCUAUCUAGCAAGCUUAAGCCGUUAGGUGUAGGCGCAGCGAAAGCGAGUCUUAAUAGGGCGUCGAGUUCGUGGGAUCAGACCCGAAACCGAGUGAUCUAGGCAUGACCAGGAUGAAGGUACGGUAACACGUACUGGAGGUCCGAACCCACACCUGUUGAAAAAGGUCGGGAUGAGUUGUGCCUAGGGGUGAAAGGCCAAUCAAACUCGGAGAUAGCUGGUUCUCCGCGAAAUCUAUUUAGGUAGAGCGUCAUCCGAAUACCCCGGGGGGUAGAGCACUGGAUGGGUAAUGGGGCCCCACAGGCUUACUGAUCCUAACCAAACUCCGAAUACCCGGGAGUACUAGAUGGCAGACACACGGCGGAUGCUAACGUCCGUCGUGGAGAGGGAAACAACCCUGACCUACAGCUAAGGCCCCCAAUUCAUGGCUAAGUGGGAAAGCAGGUGGGACGACCAAAACAACCAGGAGGUUGGCUUAGAAGCAGCCAUCCUUUAAAGAUAGCGUAACAGCUCACUGGUCUAAAUAAGUUGUCCUGCGGCGAAGAUGUAACGGGGCUCAAGCCAUGAGCCGAAGCUUAGGACUGCGUAUGCAGUGGUAGCGGAGCGU